CUAAACAUAUCAUAUAUGUUUCGCCUAGCCUUUGCCUCUAGAUUCCAUAAUAAUCAAGUUUCCAAGCAUCCAAAUUUUAUGAAACUAGUUGAGUAAGAUCCACCAAUAGCUCAAACAUACUCGUGUAAAAGUGUGGCCUUGAGUGUGCUCAACAAGCCUCUAAUUAAAAGAGCAGCCAAGUUAUCUUGCUAUAUGGUGGAAGGCAACUUAAUCAUACGUGGUAUGUGACUCAAUAUUUACCAAGGGAUUUUAUCCUUUUCGUUUUAUUAAGGUCUCAUUUGAUUAGAAUGCAUAGCAUUUAAUAUAUCGCAUAAAAUUAAAUGUAUCACAUGCUGUUCUACUAAGAUGGUUAUGGACUUUUCUACUAUAGUUAUGAACAUAUAAAGUAAACAUGCUCAAUAU
rnacentral:lncRNA from 1 species